rnacentral:rRNA from 1 species
AGCAGCCGCGGUAAUUCCAGCUCCAAUAGCGUAUAUUAAAGUUGUUGCAGUUAAAAAGCUCGUAGUUGAAUUUCGGGGUUAGUAGGUUGGUCAUGCCUCUGGUAUGUACUGGUCUCACUGAUUCCUCCUUCCUGAUGAGCCGUAAUGCCAUUAAUUUGGUGUUGCGGGGAAUUUGGACUGUUACUUUGAAAAAAUUAGAGUGUUUAAAGCAGGCUCACGCUUGAAUACAUUAGCAUGGAAUAACGGAAUAGGACGUUUGAUUCUAUUUUGUUGGUUUCUAGGAUCGACGUAAUGAUUAAUAGGGAUAGUUGGGGGCAUUAGUAUUCAAUUGUCAGAGGUGAAAUUCUUGGAUUUAUUGAAGACUAACUACUGCGAAAGCAUUUGCCAAGGAUGUUUUCAUUAAUCAAGAACGAAAGUUAGGGGAUCGAAGACGAUCAGAUACCGUCGUAGUCUUAACCAUAAACUAUGCCGACUAGGGAUCGGAUGAUGUUAAUUUUUAAUGACUCAUUCGGCGCCUUAA